ACCUAUGACAUUGGGUAUAGCACGGAUACAAAAGGAGAUUUUUAAGCAGUAUCUAUAGAUCUGUAUGAAGAAAUUUACAGGAGCGACACACCGAAGAAAACUCAGCAGCAGCCAGAUCUGGCUUUAUACCAGUACCAUAACCUUUUAACAAGAUGACAUUUGCCAAGAAAGUAGCUAAGAAGACAGAGAAGAGAAUAGCUGUUAGUAGGGCCCCAACAUUGCUUAGUAGACUCAGAACAUGAGAAAAUGGGAGUAUACAGGAUAUCAGUUACAAAUCAGGAGAUAAAAGAACAAUCUGUUUAUAUCAGAGUGACUAAUAGAACCCUAGCCCAAUGUUUGCAAGAGCACAAAAGUGAUUUAGCUAAGGCCAAGUUAACGACAGCUCUAGCUGUGCAGGCAUACAGCACUGAUCUUGCUGUACAUUGGUAUCCAGCUAGAAGUCAUAAAACCAAAUGUCCUCCCAGGCUUUGACCAUUGAAACCCUAGAGAUUUUAAAAAGACAAGACACUGAAUAGCUCCUUAAUGAACAUCCAGGGACCCAGCUACCCAUAGCCUGGAAAUA
rnacentral:lncRNA from 1 species